GUCUACGGCCAUACCACCCUGAACGCGCCCGAUCUCGUCUGAUCUCGGAAGCUGAGUAGGGUCGGGCCUGGUUAGUACUUGGAUGGGAGAAAGGUUAGGUCUGCGAAAUGUGCAAUCCUAUUGCAGCAGGAA
rnacentral:rRNA from 1 species